rnacentral:rRNA from 1 species
UUCGUAGGUGAGGUUUGCUUGCCGAAACCCUUAGCCAGCGACUCUAAAGAAAUUAGCUAUAAGUCGCCCCUUCGGGGGCUGGCGACGCCAUCAAUCUGUAUCUGGAAGUGCCCCCUACCAAGGGAGUACCACCAGCAGCUCGUUGCAUUCGAGUUCACAGGUCAAACGAUAGCGGCCACUUUGGUGGUUGAGAUAUGAUCGGCCUCCAGCGUCACCUAGCUGGGGAAAUUCGCGGAACCUGCGGAAGGAUCAUUA